UGUUCAGAGAAUCGUUUCCUGAGCUCAUGUGCAUCCAAGAAGACCUGCCAGCCUCCUGUCAUCAUACAGUGUUGUUAAAUGAACCCUUCUGAAUCGGAAAUCACCUCAGAAAUGUUUCUCUUUGACUACCAAUGAUGGAUACUCGGAUCCUGUUGGGAGACAACAAACUUUGUUAUCUUGAGGCAUGGAGGAAACAAGUGAAGUCAUGACGUAAUCAGAGGAAAACCAGCAUUAUCAAGAUAACAAGAUAAGUAAGAGCAGUCAGAGAUAUCGACGUGGCCUAUAGAACGGCAGAGCGAGGGAUGCUGCCGAUCUUUAAGGAAUCAUGGAGCUGUAAAAGCAUGAGGAACCAUAUUCCCUUCUCAGAUUGUGAAGUCCAAUCACUGCCUGUGGGAAGAAAAAAAAAAGGGUUAGGGGCAAAUUAAACGAUCAAAGAGAAGGGCACUUCUAUGCUUUAAUUCACCCUGAACACCACUCUGAAAUAUGGCUUUUUUUAACAGAAAAGCACGGUGGAUGAAAAGGGUCUGUUUUACAUU